rnacentral:lncRNA from 1 species
AGCUCCCACCUCUGCCUGCCCGCUUCAUGCCUGCCAUCCUUGGCAUCCCUACUUAAAAAAAAGCUCUCCAUUUUUGCAGGAAACCCGAGUGAAGGCUGAGUGCCCCAUGAGGGACCCGGGCUCUGACACAGACAGACUGUCCCGGCUGGAGUCCAGCUCCUGGACGACCUGGGUCUCCCCGUUCUGCACUGGUAUCGCGCGGUGAGGCGGCGCUGAUCAGAACCUCAAAAGACCUGACCCCGAACACCGUCAUCCCAAAUCCUGAGCUCCUGAAAGAUCAAAACCUAACAUGUUGGUGUUCUGACCAGUUUCUCUGUGAAUGGUUCAUCUGCACAUAACUCAUAUCCACGUGACUGAAUGAGCACACCUGUGUGUCUGUGCUGGAGAAAAUGUUAUGAUCACCGACUUUAUUGGGUAAAGUCGCCUAUGAGGGGUGCUGUCGUGUUUUUCAGUUUCUCAAAUCCCCCUUAAAAUAUAAAUAAAUAAAUGUAUU